GCACUGGUGGUUUAGUGGUGUAAGUAUUUGUCCCCGCUUUUAAUCAUUUACACUGACGAGUAAAAGAAAAUUCAUCGUUGCCAUCGUUGUAUCGAUGAGCCCUGGGUUCGAUUCCCGGUCAGUGCA